AUGAAUGUAUCUAGAUUUGUUUUAGUAACAACGACGACGACGAAGAAAAUGCAGGGAAAGAGUACUUUUACGAGGAAAAUACAAGUAUCUACGAGGUGCUACUUGAUAAAAGUUCACAAGGUUGGUAAUGGUAAUUUGUUUCCGUCUCCAUGCAGCACACAAUCCGUACGUACACAUGUGCUCCCAUGUGCCGCUGUGCUACCCACCAUCCUACACAAAUAUCGCUCAGCCGCUGAACGGCCGGUACUCCUUGAGCUCGCCGAUGACGUCGGCUAUGGACCCGGCGGCGGCGGCGACGGACACGACGAGGCAGGCGGCGCUGAGCAUCUUGAGGCAAACCCACCGCGUGCUCCCCCGCCGCACGCCGCGCUGCACGAUGUACAUCUCGACGGGGAAGUAGACGGUGAGCGGCCAGAAGGCGACGGCGCCGAGGAGCCCCACGACGUCGCCGAAGAAGGGGAGCAGCAUGGAGACGACGGUGGUGAGGCAGACGAAGGCCGUGCGCCAGGUGAGCCGGAAGACGCUGAUGGCGAAUGGCCCCACGCGGAGCUCCCGGGCGAUGAAGGCGCUGUCGGGCCACCUCGCCGCCGCCCACUUCUCGACGAAGGCGAAGAGGGGCUGGCAGAAGACCUGGUAGGCGCCGACGAGGUGCAGCACGAUGGCGGCGUUGGCGACGUCCAGCAGCCAGAAGGGCUCGUAGAAGCCGAACCCCGUGAGCAGGUUGUCGGGCGCCGCGUCGCCGAACGCCGCGUACCCCAUGCACCCGCACAGCAUGUAGAAUACCGUCGUCGUCGCCACGCUUAUCCCCGUCGCCUUCUUCAUCACCUUCUAGGAGUAGGCGAAGGCGAUGUUGCCGAAGGCCUGGAGGCUGCGCCACACCUUCUGCAUGGAGGUCACGCCCGGGCCGACGCUGAGGCCGGUGAGGCUUCCCUGGAUGCCACCGUUGGCGACGGUCUGCGCGAUGCCGAGCCCGAGCCCGAUGGUGGAGUAGGUGAAGGACAUGACGGCGGCGACGAUGGAGAGCCACCAUAUCUGGUCGAAGUCCGGUAUCUGCGAGAAGAGGAUCUGCACCACCCCGAAGACGAUCAUGUAGGGGUUGCUGGAGCUCUUGCACUCGUCCUUCCCGCUGCGGCCCCUGACGUCGUGGUAGUGGAAGCAGUCCGCCCUCCCGAUCGCCCGCAUGCUGAUGGAGGCGGCGAUGGUGUAGCCGAUGGCGACGCCCACGAGGUUGGCGUACUGGAUGACGCCGCAGAGCUUCACCUUGGUGCCCGGGAGGUAGGAGCGGACGGCGUCCAUGUAGGUGUAGUUGCGCUUGCCGGUCUCCGGGUCGCCGGAGCGGUAGCACUCGGCGAGGAGCGUGGAGGUGUAGUAGAUGACGAGCGCGAACAGGAGCAUGAUGGCGGGGCCCGCCGCCCAGCCGAGCUGGGCGAUGGCCCACGCCAGCGAGAGGACGCCCGAGCCGAUGACGGCGGUGAUGAUGUGGGCGCUCGCCGUCCACACCGUGCCCGUCCGACGCGGGCGCCCGUCGUCGUCAAGCCAGUCGGACUCGGCGCCGUUCCCGGCCUCCACCGACACCUCCAUCGGCGCCAUCCUGGCCGCGCCCUUCCCGUAGCUCGCCUGCUUCUUCUCCAUCAGGGAAGCGAUGGCAACUGGCGCGUGUCUCGCCGGUGGGGUUGA
rnacentral:rRNA from 1 species